rnacentral:tRNA from 1 species
GCGCCUGUAGCUCAGCUUGGAUACCUCAAAACCUUGGGUUUUUUGGUCAAAGAGAGCGAAAGGUUCCUAACCUUUAGGCCCGGGGUUCGAAUCCUCGCAGGCGCG